UACAGAGGGUGCAAGCGUUAAUCGGAAUUACUGGGCGUAAAGCGCGCGUAGGUGGUUCGUUAAGUUGGAUGUGAAAUCCCCGGGCUCAACCUGGGAACUGCAUUCAAAACUGACGAGCUAGAGUAUGGUAGAGGGUGGUGGAAUUUCCUGUGUAGCGGUGAAAUGCGUAGAUAUAGGAAGGAACACCAGUGGCGAAGGCGACCACCCGGACUGAUACUGACACUGAGGUGCGAAAGCGUGGGGAGCAAACAGG
rnacentral:rRNA from 1 species